CAAUAGCGUAUAUUAAAGUUGUUGCAGUUAAAAAGCUCGUAGUUGGACUUCUGCGGGUGGCGGCCGGUCGUGCUCGAAACGGGCGUGAACUUGGCGUGCUGCCCGCAUCUUUGGGGAGAUUGUGCGUGGCAUUAAGUUGUCGUACAUGGGAUUCUCAUCAUUUACUGUGAAAAAAUUAGAGUGUUUAAAGCAGGCCUUUGCCUUGAAUACAUUAGCAUGGAAUAAUAAGAUAGGACCGUUGUCUAUUUUGUUGGUUUACAGAUGUCGGUAAUGAUUAAUAGGGAUAGUUGGGGGUAUUCGUAUUCAGUUGUCAGAGGUGAAAUUCUUGGAUUUUCGGAAGACGCACGACUGCGAAAGCAUUUACCAAGGAUGUUUUCAUUAA
rnacentral:rRNA from 1 species